rnacentral:rRNA from 1 species
AGCUUUUUGUAUUUAUAAAAAGUAUUUUCUGCCCGGUGAAUUUUUAACGGCCGCGGUAUUUUGACCGUGCAAAGGUAGCAUAAUCAUUUGUUUUUUAAUUGAAGACUGGAAUGAAUGGAUCUUCGUAAAGAAAUUUGUCUCAUUAUUUUUAUUUGAAAUUUCUUUGUUUUUGAAGAAGAAAAUAUGGUGUUUAGGGACGAGAAGACCCUAUUGAGUUUUAUUAUAUUUUGAUGAUCUGUUUUAUUUAUUUUUUUUUUAUCAUUUUUUAAUUUGGUUGGGGCAACCUAAGAGGACUAAAUUCUCUUUUUUUUAUGAUUGAUCCAAUAAUAUUGAAUUUAGAAUAAAUUACCAUAGGGAUAACAGCGUUAUUUUUCUAGAGAGUUCUAAUCGAUAGAAAAGAUUGCGACCUCGAUGUUGGACUAAAAUUUCCUAAGUGUGCAGCAGCUCUUAAGGGUGGGUCUGUUCGACCUUUAAUAUUUU